rfam:Helianthus annuus linkage group 2, whole genome shotgun sequence.
CACUAGUCGAGAGCUGGCGUCGCUCUUUUGAUGAGUCCAUGGUAGGACGAAACUAGUG